rnacentral:rRNA from 1 species
UACGAAGGGGGCUAGCGUUGCUCGGAAUCACUGGGCGUAAAGGGUGCGUAGGCGGGUCUUUAAGUCAGGGGUGAAAUCCUGGAGCUCAACUCCAGAACUGCCUUUGAAACUGAAGAUCUUGAGUUCGGGAGAGGUGAGUGGAACUGCGAGUGUAGAGGUGAAAUUCGUAGAUAUUCGCAAGAACACCAGUGGCGAAGGCGGCUCACUGGCCCGAUACUGACGCUGAGGCACGAAAGCGUGGGGAGCAAACAGG